rnacentral:rRNA from 1 species
GACGAACCGAGCGAACGUUAUUCGGAAUCACUGGGCUUAAAGGGCGCGUAGGCGGGCCGUCAAGUCAGGGGUGAAAGCCCCCAGCUCAACUGGGGAAGUGCCUCUGAUACUGGCGGUCUCGAGGGGGAUAGGGGCGUGCGGAACUUCCGGUGGAGCGGUGAAAUGCGUAGAUAUCGGAAGGAACACCGGUGGCGAAAGCGGCGCGCUGGAUCCCUUCUGACGCUGAGGCGCGAAAGCCAGGGGAGCGAACGGG